CAUGCCAGGUGUUGUAACACAGGUAUAUAUAAAGGAGCAUUCUGUCUGCAGGGAUCACAGCUCAACGCAGCAGAACCCAAUAAAGGCACGGAGCCUAUUGAAUCCACAGUUACUCGUCGUUUGACCAAGUUGUUUUCCAUCUGAAGCAAUAGUUAUAAAAACAUUUCUCAUAUAUAAAGGCCUGUUACUCAUCGUUUGACCAAGUUGUUUUCCAUCUGAAGCAAUAGUUACAAAUAAUUGCUCUCAUAUAUAAAGGCCUGAUCACAACUUCAAGAAUGUUUCCAAAAUUCUCUUUUCUCCUGAUAUUUGCAGUUGUUUUGAGUCUCACCCAUAAGUCCUUAUGUCAAAACUGGGAAACAUUUCAGAAGAAACACCUGACAAAAGACCGGGAUAUUAAAUGUGAUAAUAUCAUGUCAAAAACCUUGUUCAACUGCAAGGACACAAACACUUUUAUCUUUUCACUUCCUGGGCCAGUGAAGGCCCUCUGUAGAGGAAUUAAAGACUCCAAAAAUGUG